rnacentral:piRNA from 1 species
UCCCCAUAAGCGAUUCCUAAAGGACGAGU